rnacentral:rRNA from 1 species
UACAGAGGUCCCAAGCGUUGUUCGGAUUCACUGGGCGUAAAGGGUGCGUAGGUGGUCAGGUAAGUCUGAUGUGAAAUCUCUGGGCUCAACCCAGAAACUGCAUUGGAUACUAUCUGGCUAGAGGAGUGGAGGGGGGACUGGAAUACUUGGUGUAGCAGUGAAAUGCGUAGAUAUCAAGUGGAACACCAGUGGCGAAGGCGAGUCCCUGGACACUUCCUGACACUGAGGCACGAAAGCUAGGGGAGCGAACAGG